rnacentral:rRNA from 1 species
UACGGGGGGGGCAAGCGUUGUUCGGAAUUACUGGGCGUAAAGGGCUCGUAGGUGGCCAACUAAGUCAGACGUGAAAUCCCUCAGCUUAACUGGGGAACUGCGUCUGAUACUGGAUGGCUUGAGUUUGGGAGAGGGAUGCGGAAUUCCAGGUGUAGCGGUGAAAUGCGUAGAUAUCUGGAGGAACACCGGCGGUGUAGACGGCUUUCUGGACCGUAGCUGACGCUGAGACACGAAAGCGUGGGGAGCAAACAGG